UAGACAAGGCUUUAAUGAUCCACAGCCACCCUGUGGUUUCACCCAAGGAAUAUUGCAUCUUCAGACCAGUUUGCAAUGUGCUGUCCUUCAGCCUGUGCUCUCCCCUUGCUUUGUGGCAUGUCACAUCUGCUAUGGGUGGCAUGGUUGUGCCCAACUGGACUUCAGGAUUCCUGCAAUUUCACUUCUUCCUGCAAGAAUGGAUUUGGAGCCCCAUUUUCACCUGUGCCAGCACAGCUAUGCUGUCAGUCAUGUGAAAUAGCCUCAUCACCUGAACAGUAGCUUAACUCUGUUCAUUUUUCAUCUGGUGAAUGCUUCCAGUGCAAGCCACUGACUGGACUCACAGCCACAUUACUGUCUGCAGCACUUUGAAACCUUCUCCAGUUGUAUCACACAUUCCCAGAGAAAUUCCAGCUCUGACGGCGCUUCUAAUUGGACCUGUGAGCAAGACAGUCCCUUGCUGAACAUUUUAAACAGCAUGAGUUCCAAUACCAACAAUUCAGAUGAAAGACUCACAUGGAGAACGGUACGCUGUGCAUUAGGAUUGCAGAUAUCCUCUGGGAUCUGAACAGAGAAGGACUGUUUGAGAUGUGCACUCUGCUUGUCAAAGAGAAAUAAGUGCUGCAAUAAAAAGAGCAGUUGGAUAUCUAAACUCCCCUCAGUCUGGUAGAAGGAAGACUUCACCUGUCUGCAAGAAGACCCACCUAAUCUGAAUGUUCUUCUAGAAAGAGUUUUAAAGAUGAAUAAUCAUUUUUACUGUCAUUCAGUUCAGGGUCCUAGCUCAGGCCAGUGAUUUCCUGAAUGUUUGAGUAGCUCCAAGUGGUCCUGCUUAAGCAGGGAGGCUUGAAACAGAUGAUUUCCAGAGAUCACAUCCAACCUCAAUCAUUUUAUUAUUUUGUGAUUUUGAUAUUUAGAUUUGCCUGACUUGAUUAUUGCCAGAAGAAGUGAAACAAACUCAAGACACUUUCUUCUGCUUCUGUUAUUACCAGGAGUGCCAUCCCAGCAGUCUCAAUGAACUCUGGGUGCCUUCACCUGGCUUUUCUCUUGUACCUGGGAGCUUAGCAUUUGGCACCUUAUGUCCCAGUUGAGCCCAAUAUACGAUAGGAUUUGCUAAUGAAUUUAAAAGCAGACUUGCAGCCUUGGAGACACUGCGGCCCAGGGAUGGGCAAGAGGACACCACACACAAAAUGUCAGCUGUUCAGUUCCUAUGGCAAUACCUGCUGAAAAACUGUCCAAUGACCAGAAAAAGCAGGUCAUUCUCACAGAGCCAUUUUUCUUACCCAGAAGCCUUGAUCCCCCUUAUCAAACCUGUGGCCAGAGAUGAUAUUGGGGGCUGCAUCCUGUUACAGCAAAUGCUUUCCUGCAGAUGUGCAUCCCAUUUCGCUUGGCUUUGCUCAUGCCUUCUUAGCAUUUGCUUUCUGGGGAUGUGUGAGUGAUUGAGGGUGAAGGCCUGGCCCCAUGCAGCUCUGCCAUCUCCCUCGAUGGAGUCAGUAUUUCACCUGUGCUCGCAGCGACAGAGACGGAAUGUUAGAGCCGCAUGCACAGGCUUUCACAGAAAUCAAUUCUCACAUGCAGCAUUAAUAUUGGAAAUGCUUCUCUCUCUCUCCUAAUUGUUGGCCAGGCACAGUAACCUGUGACUAAUGGCCAUUCAUAGUUAAACAGCAUGGCCUGAUCAUAAAAAUUUGCCAUUAGUCUCUAACAAAAAAAAAAUCUCAGGCUGUUAAUUGACCAACAUGUAUUCCUGAGGAAAUCAGGAGUAAUCACAUGGAUAUUCAGUGCACAGAAAAGGAAGGUGCAGCUAGCCUGUGCAUUGCUUUUAUGAUUCAUCUGCUCUGAUCUGCUUUUGAUUAUUUUUUCCUCAUGUGAGGCCAGUAUUUUAAAUCAAAGAUUUGAGAAAUAGCCCUGUGCUUGAAGUGACCCAAAUUAAAAGCCAGUUGCCACCUUUCUUCUCCUACUAGGCAGCCGUCCAUUUCUGUGCAGGAAUGGACAUAUGUUAGAGGCUGUCAGUACAGCUGCAAGCAAACCACUGAGCUCAUGGACUGCCUCUGCCAAUGGCUAGUCAGCUACUGGAAAAAGUUACAAAACAGCUAUUAUAGCCAGGUAUGAUCCUGAAGAAGGGCCUUCAUUGAGAACUGGUGUACUUUGCUCGUUUUCGUGCAGUUCAGUAUGACUCUGCCCUGGAAAACUGUUCCUCAUUCUCAAAACAAGGACAGCAAGAUGUGUUCAGGAGGCUGAAAGUCACCGCCAGACCCUGCCUGUGCCCCAGGGACACACAGCUCAGAGUGGCUGAAGAGGACACACAGGACCCUGGUGUGUGUCACCCCACCUCCGCGAGGCCGGGAGCGGCCGCGGGCUCCUCGCAGAGCUGCUGAAGGCCAGCAGAGACUUUCCCCACGGUAAUCCCACAGCACACCCGCACUAAUAAUGAAAUUACGCACUUGGUACAUGGGAAUAUUUUAUUUUGACUUUACAUGCGGUGUUAAAAACCCAAAGAACGUAUUAUUUACACAUCCACAAUACAAGUUUACAAGAUAUCUAUACAUGUUAAAGUACUCUAUAGUAAUAGAGCAGCUUCAUUUAAGGGUUACUUUUUUUAUGCCGUACCAUUAAAAAAGAUACAAUCUGCGUUUACCUUUGCACAAAUGGAUAAAGCAUCUUUUAUUAUUAAAUUAACAGAAUAAGGACUAGGUUGAAUGUUAGAAAUUUCAACAUAAAUACUGAGAGAACUCACAUUACCAUCUACAAGGCAGCACAAUGUUACAGGAGGUUAUCAGGGUUCACAUACAUUUAUCUUCCGGGUCACACAAGUCUGUAUUAAUAUUUGUAAAGUGAAUUCGGAUCAGUUUGUGUCUUCUGACAACUGAGUACAUUUUAAUAGUUAUUAAUCUGUAGUGUUUUAGUUGCAAGACAGAAGUGUUUAGGAAGAAAGAUCAUUGAUUUUUGGAUCCAGAGGUCUCGGGAAAUAAAUGUCCCUUACAGCCUUACAAGAAAAAAAUGACUACUUCUAUCCUUUAUUCUUUGUUCUGUAACAGAGAUCCAGUUUUUAGUGACUAACCUUUUCUCCCCUUUGAACACAUAAUAUAAAUCUCCACCGUCAUUGAAACCCAUUGCAGUUAUUUGUCCCACUAAUUCAUGAAUAUUCCUCUGCCAUGGUUAUUUCUAUAGUUAUGUUCAAUAAACAAUGUGGUAGUGUGUAGUUUGCAAGCUAAAAUAGCCAUCUGUGUUGAACAUCAGCUGCAAGUGGAUACUGUAAACCCUACUAAAUAGCUUACACAACUUUAGCAGGUGUUCCAUUACCCUAGAAACCUCAUUUGAUUUCACAUUAUAACUGUUUGAUCCUUCAGAGAGCUGGAGUGGAAUGUUUAUCAUGGUAAGGUGAUUUAAUGCUGCUGUCUUCUUGGAUUGUAGGCUGCCUUUAGUUACCAUUAAUUAUUCUUGCGUCUUAUCUUUUUUUUUUUUUGGGUGCUGUUGAGAGGUUUUACAACUGGCACUCGGGAGAUAUG